rnacentral:rRNA from 1 species
AGCAGUAGCCGCGGGAAUACGGAGGGUGCAAGCGUUAUCCGGAUUCACUGGGUUUAAAGGGUGCGUAGGCGGAUCUGUAAGUCAGUGGUAAAAUCUCCAGGCUUAACCUGGAAACUGCCGUUGAUACUAUAGGUCUUGAAUUUUGUGGAGGUUAGCGGAAUAUGUCAUGUAGCGGUGAAAUGCAUAGAUAUGACAUAGAACACCAAUUGCGAAGGCAGCUGGCUACACAACUAUUGACGCUGAGGCACGAAAGCGUGGGGAUCAAACAGGAUUAGAUACCCCAGUAGUCCCUGUCUCUUAUAA